GAUGAACGCUAGCGGAAGGCAUAAUACAUGCAAGUCGAACGGAUGUAGCAAUACAUUAGUGGCGCACGGGUGCGUAACGCGUAUGCAACCUACCUUCAUCAGGGGGAUAACUACCAGAAAGGGUGGCUAACACCGCAUACUACUAUUGAGUGGCAUCACUUGAUAUUUCAAUCUGAGGAGGAUGCAGAGGGGCAUGCGUCUGAUUAGCUAGUUGGUGUGGUAACGGCGCACCAAGGCGACGAUCAGUAGGGGAACUGAGAGGUUGGUCCCCCACACUGGCACUGAGAUACGGGCCAGACUCCUACGGGAGGCAGCAGUAGGGAAUAUUGGUCAAUGGUGGGAACACUGAACCAGCCAUUCCGCGUGCAGGAAGAAGGGUCUCUGACUUGUAAACUGCUUUAGCAAGGGAAGAAAAAGCUCAUGCGUGAGAAAUUGACGGUACCUUGAGAAUAAGCACCGGCUAACUACGUGCCAGCAGCCGGGUAAAAC
rnacentral:rRNA from 1 species